rnacentral:lncRNA from 1 species
UACCCCACUUUGCACCUCCCAGAGAAGUAAGUUAUCAUUUUUCCUUAAUUCUUAUCUUCUGUCAGAAUACUGUGCGUCCAAGAGAUUACGGUUGUUUUCGUAAUGGUGUAGAUGCGAAGAUGAGAAGCCUUUCUUGUCGAAGUAUGAGAUAUCAAGAAAGAAGGCAGAAUCUCUGGGUGUCAACUUCACUCCAUUCGAGGUGAGUCUGAGAGAUACCGUCGAAUGCCUCAAGGAAAAGGGAUUCAUCUCUAUCUAGGCACUUGCUUAGAACAGCAUGUCACGAGCUUGCUAAUAAUGACUUGUGGACCUGUGGUCUGUCCUCAGCCUUUCAGCUCCUAAAUCAUACAAUUCUUCUGAAUAAUGUAUCAUUACCCACUUUUAGAGAUAACUCUGCCAGUUUUUCCCAGCUAAUCUUACGUUAUUGAUGUUUAGUUUCUGUGUCCAAUUUGCCUGCCGAAACAACUCAUCAUAUAGAACAUCAGAUAUAAUCUUGAAGACUUUGUAAGCAAUGUCGAAAACUUGUGAGAUAAAUUGAGUUAAUGACUCAAGCUAGCGGUUAAUCCAAGAAGGCUCCUUUCUGGCCAACAUACUUGACUGCCAUUAUGUAUAAAGCCAAUAGAAAAAUGAAGGACUCACUAUGAUUGGAUAUGAAUAUCAAAGACUGAUUCUGCCAGUAACUUAUAUGACCAAAAGAUUGGUGACUCAUGAUACUCUCAAUCAACAGAGCAUUGAACAGUGUUUCUGAGCUUAACAAAACCUUGAUAAUAAUAGCUAGUAGACAAUGCGUACUGGCUGUGAUUGCCAUCCCGAUGCAAGAGAGCUUUACACGACCAAAUUGCAUCUGAACUUGCAGCACCUAAUAUGAGCGUGCACUUUCUGUCGUCAGAUGUAAUAUGUGUUAUCAAACAAUCAAUUCUUCACUUCUGAUGAAAGCAUCUGAACUGCCAUCUCAUUUCAUUUGCAUAUGCAAUGGUCUGACAGGCCUUUGUAUAACUCCCAAUGCAUUAUCCCAUCCAUAGCUUCAACACCUUAUCUUUACCACCAGAAGCAACAUUCUCACCAUCUGGAUUCCAAUCGACUGCAAAAACCUUCUCACGAGAACACCUGCUAAAGUAAGCAAGUGGUAGUCCAUGAUAAAAAUACAAACUUAAAAACUUGUCUGAUGACCAUGUUAAGGGAACAAACCUCAUCCGCAUGACCCGGAAGAUCUUGUUUCAACUUCUUCGUGCGAAUAUCCCAGAUCUAAAAGUAAGCCAAAUAUUGAGCAAACAUUUAAGCAUUCAAAUCAGGCAAAAAUUCAUAAUAAUCAUAACCGGUAAAAAGGGCAGACUCCACAUGCUAUUGAUAUUUACAAAUAGUUCAAACAGAAUUAAAACAAGCAAGAGAACAUCACUCAAGCUUCCAUACGUACUCUGCUUUACAAUAUCCUCAUCACCAUAUCUCACAAAAUAAGCAGACCUAACAUGGUCCAAUGGUUCAAAAAAUAACUUAAAUAGGCCAUUGAGAUCUCAAUGAAAACAAGUUGCACUAGAACUCAGCAACAACCAGGGGGAAAAAUCCUUAUUGCUUGCACCAUAAAUAAACUAAUUUCCUGUAACACAUUGAUAUUUUUUUCACAGAUAAUAUUACAAGCUCUCCUGUUACAAUUCUAAGUGACCACACUUGAUCUCUCUUAAAGCUGGCCCAUGACACAUGUAAGUACUUUAUGGAAAUCAUUCGAACGCUAUAUGCUUUGUGCAACUGACCUUCAGGGUAGUCUUUGCUCCCACUUAAAAGAAGUCUACUAUCUGCAGACCAACUGUGCAUUAUGUAAAUCAUGAUUAGAAAUCAUUCUUGAAUGGAUAAGACGAGCAAAUUUUGAAAAUAUCUCAAACCUUAUCUGAUAUACAGGCCGGACAUGUCCACUGAAUGCAGCAACAAACUUCCCAAUAAUACCAUUCCACAACUUCACAGAUCUAUCAAACGAAGCACUAGCCACCCAUUGCCCAUCCGGUGAAAAGUAGACAUGAUCCACAAGCUGCAAACAAAAAGCAUAAUUUCCCGCAUUUACACCUAACAAGGAUCUAAAGUAUUAGCCUCAAGAAAAUAUUAGGAGGAUGUCUCAUCCAUUGAACCAGUGCCACCAGGACCACAAUGUGGAGUACGUCCUUAUUUAGCAUCAUUAUGGCAAUUGAUAGUAUAUACUGGAGCACAAACAGUCUUCUAAAUACAGUAAAUACUUAGGGAAUCAAUCACACAGCAAAAGCAGGCAGCUGUCAAAUCAAUCUCCCUCCCUCCUCCCUCACACACGCACGCACACACAAACCUGUUGGUGAUCGGUCAUUCGUGUUUUUGGAUGCUUACCAACAGAAGGUUCCCACAAAAACAUAGUAAAAUCAUCAGAUCCAGAGACCAAUUUUUCGGGAACAUUGCCUUUCAUUUUCUUGUAACUUUCUAAUGCAACCUAUGUUCAUCAACAAAAUACAGAAGUUCAUAUGACAGUUACCAGAAAGUAGAACUACAAAUGUGCACAGACCCAAAGGCAGAGAAUCACCACAAGGGGGCAGAACAUGCACAGAGCCAGAAGACGUGCUGACUAAUGCAUACUAGGUUGUAAGAAAAUAAUGUCCAGAGAGAAAUAACCAAUGCAUACUAAGUUGCAUGAGCAAAUCAAUAUGCAGAGAGAAAUAAAUGUUUGAUUUAUUGCCUCAUGAUAUAAAGAUGAUUCCACAUAAUAACAGUUACCUACUUGCUUCAUUUCUUCAGAAGAUGAAUACUGUUUUCCAGUGUGAUCAAAAGCUACAGUUCGAAGAACAUACUCAGUGCUCAGAGCAGGGAGUUAACCCAGUGUCCAAAAUCCUACAACAAAAAUUUUAACAGAAAUAACGAUGAUUGUGAAAAAAAGAAGAGAGGGAUCUAGCAGCAACUUAGAUUAAGAAUGCGGACUUGGCAGUAGAAACUAAGAAAAGACAUAAACACGCAAGCCAUGAAAACAAAACUCUAACCUUAAUAUGCAAUUCACAUCUCAGAGACAUCGAAAAAUGGUGGUAUUUCAUUCUUAACGUCAAUAUCUCCCGAGAACUAUACAAUGAAAACAUUCAAGGACAUGAUGUCGCCAAUAGCUGGGCUAAAUAAUAUGCCCAAUUAGUAGGGGGUAGGUCACUAGGUGCCAAACUGCCUCCUGGCACCAAAGAGAUUGAGUGAAUGCAGCUACUGCAAAGGCGCAAAUAAAUAUAAAGCUAUUGUGGUGAAGAAGAAGACAGGCAUGCAAUGACCCUGCAAUCUGUAUUACAAACUUUAAAAAAGAUGUUACCUUCAAUUCCCUUAUCAGCUUCCCCUGGGAGUUUCUCAGACAUUAAUUGUACAGUCCUGGGAGCUGCAAGAAAUUUAAAAUAAUUACUUCACCAGGUAACAAGUAGUAGAAGCAGCAGCAGUUUGGCAAAGUCCAAGGAUACUCAGUAGCUUGAAAGCAGAAUUUACAAGUCCUCGCCUAAUCUGAGGCCCAUCAGAAGUAUGAUUUAGUAAAAAAAACUUCAUGUUAUUCUUUUGUUGUUCAUGUAGCACGGCACUAGCAUAUGGACAUUAAUACAUCACAAAGUGAUUAAAUAUUUAUCUCAGUGUGGAAUUGCCUCUCUUGUUCCAACUUGUCAGUGGGACAGUUAUUAAGGGUUGGCGGAUCAAGUCCUUCCAUUGAGAAUUUAGUUUGCAGCCUCAGUGAUAUUCAUUUCCGCACAACAUGAAAACUAUCGCUGACAACGUGUACUAGGAUUUGGUAAUUCAUGAUUUUAAGAUUCGAAACAUUUAACCAACACGGGCAUUAAAAGUAGCAGGAGGGCUUACAUUUAGGAAGCACAAAACCGAACCAGCCAAUGAACUUCCAAUAGCCAAAAGCGCCAAGAAGCGGAAGUCAAAGAUCACCUGCUCAGCAAUGGAGGACUACUCUUUGAACAUAGAUGCACUAAUAAAGGCAAUCAAUACGAAAGAACACACCGGUCAUGAAAGCAGAAAUAAAGAGCAACAAGGAAUUAAAAUCAAGCGCAGCUCAUUACAAGUCCAUUGCAAUAGCUUUUGCAGUUGAAAAUACAACCUUCGAUCCAUCAGGACCCUCCAGCAAUUGAGCAUAUACACCCAGUAUGUAAAACAGGCUCUCAAACAUCCAAACCCACCAAACCCAAAUCACCGAACCUCUUUCUAAUUCUCCGUAGCUGAGCAAUAAACAAACUUCCAACAACUCAGGAGCAACAAUUGUUCAAAGGAGGAGGAAACGAUCGAGCGAACGGACAAGCUAAAGAACUGAGUCGGUUCGGCUCACUUUUUAGAUGUUCGAUUCGGCGGCCUGAACGAAACCGACGAGGGGACUGCUGUUGGGACACAGACGCACGAUCAGACACAGAGACGGAGAGAGAGAUAUUUUUCAUUCAUUGUGGCGGGUAACCGUUAAUUUAUCAACGGUGGAGAUCGCAUCAGGAUGCGCACUGGGGCUUUUACUGGCAAAAGUACCAAGUGCAACUGGAGUCUGCAGACAUUUAUACGUGCCUAUCAAAAUUAGUUGCAGCCGGCUUCUCAUCCGAUCGUCAAUGUGAAUUGCACGGAAAUGUAGAGAGAUAUCGAUACUUUUCUGAAUCUAUAUAACUAAAAUUAGUCGGUAUCUAAUGGGACGAAUGUCUGUAAGUCGGUCAUAUUGAGAUUAGUAAUAUUGAACGAAAGUCAUUGACUUCAAAACUUUGGUAAAUCAUAAUCGAACAAAAAUCACUAACAUCAUCAAAAUAUUUGAUAAUCUUGCAAGUAUAAAUUUUUUUUAGUAAAUGACUGAAAUUAAUUAGAAUCUUAACGUGACAUAUGCUGGUGCACCGAUUAGAUUAAAGUCAAUAAUUUCUUAUAUAGGUCAAUGACUUCGGUAACGUUGAUAAGCCAUAUAUAUAUAAAUGUUCGGAGAUUGAUAAUUUAUCCUCCAUAAAUAAAUCUUAGAUACUUGUAAAAACUUCUUCUUAAUUACUAACAUGUGAUUGGGUAAGCAAAAAUGAACUUUUUGUUGAUAUUUGACGUACACACCUAAUAUUUGACAUACACAUCUCUAUUGCUUUGGAUACAGUUCUAUAGACAAAUAAAGAAAAUAUAGUAAUACAGCACAUGGUAGUUCAUUAUUUCUUGGCAUGACCCUGAAAGUGGAUGCUUGACCUGAUCGAGGGUUCGAGUUUUCCAGAAUAAGGAUUGAAACCCAUUUACCUCCGGUCUCAUCGCCUAUUUCUUAGAAGCUUCGCCCUCCUGUUUCCAAUCGGCAACCACCUUCUGGCAAUUCUAUCUAUAAAAUCGAAGUAUGAGUUUGCCCAAGAACCUUUGAUGUGCAAGACCACAAUUGGAACUAAUAUACCGGCAGCAUAUCCAAGGCCGACGCUCAAGUAAAACCACUGAUCAAUGAACUCAUCAUCACCGCGACUGUCCUCGAUUGUCUCUCGUUUGUCAGGUUCAUCGGCUGGACACGUGACAUUGAGGGGAGCACCGCAGAGUCCCGAGUUUCCAUAGUAUGAAGAAGGGAAUGUCAUCAUUUGUUGUGUGUAAGGAAUCUUUCUCGAGAAGUUAUUAUCAGAUAAAUUUAGAUAACUCAAAAAUGACAGCGAUGGCAUGCUUUGAGGGAUUACACCAAAAAGCCUGUUGCUUGAAAGAUCAAGGGAUAACAGUUGGCUCAUGCUCGAAAUGCUCUCAGGAAUUUCACCACCAAUGUCGUUUCUUGAUAAGUUCAGAAUGAGCAAUCCAACCAGUUUAGUCAUUUCUUUUGGAAAUUCUCCACCUAAAUUAUUUCCGGAGAUAUCUACGCUAGUGACAAGGGAAAGAGUCUUGGUGUACAGUUGGCUUUGGCUUUGCAUGGUCACUCGGCAGUUCUCUUGAUAGUAUGUGCCUCCGUAGUUCCUGUAAAAUAGGUACUCGAUUCUAGCUUGCCCUUCUACCAUUGCUUUAAGAUCUCCAAAGCUUGAAGGAAUGUUACCUGUCAAAUUGUUUUCUGCAAGAUCCAGCACUUGCAAUGAGCUUAAACUUGAGAGCUCAUGAGGAAUUUCUCCAGAAAAUGCAUUGGACCUCAAACUUAAAAUUCUUAAAUUGAUGAAACCCUCCGCCAUCCAUGCAGGUAUGGUGCCAUUCAAUUGGUUGUUGCCAAUAUCUAGCGUUUCUAAGCUGGACAGAUUCUUGAAUGAAGAUGGAAGGUCUCCUGAGAGCUUAUUGUUGCUGAGGUACAGAGACUGAAGCCCUUGUAAUUGGCCCAAAGGCGCGGCUAUCAAUCCAGAUAAAGAAUUGUUUUGUAGGUUGAGUACCUCUAGGCUUGAGCAGUUCCCUAUGCUUGGAGGAAUGCUUCCACUCAAAUUGUUGUUUGCUAAGUUGAUGACCUGAAGCCAUUGCAUUUCUCCUAUAGAUUCUGGGAGCCCACCUGUUAUUCUGUUAGAUGAAAGGGAGAGGAAGCCCAAUUCCGGCAUGUAUUUGCUUAAAUUUUGUGGAAUGCCACCUAAAAAUUGGUUGUUAGAGAGGUCUAACAAUCUAAUCUCAGAAAUGGGAAGAGGGAACGGUCCCUGAAAAAAGGUUAGAGCUGAGAUCAACAAGCGCAAGAGGAGCUGCUGGCAACGGAUUAGGUAAUUGGCCCUGCAACAGAUUUAGAGACAUGUUGAGGAGAGAGAGAUUCGAAGAAAUGUCCCAAAACCAACUUGGCACAGGCCCCGAAAUGCUGGCAUUUGAAAAAUCAAGAUAGUUGAUCUCAUUUUCAUGUCUAAGCCAGGCGGGGAAAGAUGGACCGAUCUGGCACGAUCCCAUGCCAAGACUGUGGACUUGGAACGGAGGCAUCCAGUCGGCACUGACAUUUAAAGUGAAAGAGUUGGAUGAGAGAUCUAAGGUCUUCAUUUUGCGUAGAUUUGCAAAAUGUUCUUCAGAUAGUGUACCUGACAAAUGAUUGAAAGACACGUCGAGAACAUCCAACUCAGAAAGUUGUCCCAGAUCAACGGGAAGAGUCCCAUUCAAUUGGUUCCUACCAAGGUCCAGAACGGUGAGGUUCUUCAGAGUCCCAAGAGAAGAAGGACUCGGCCCUUCAAGCAAGUUAUAGUCAAGGGUUAGUUCCUCAAGGUUUUUAAAUUGGCCCAUCCAACUUGGCAGAUAACCCCUCAGCCGAUUGUCGUUCAAUCUCAAGUACCUCAAAUUAGGCAAAGAACUCUGGGAAUAACAAGUUUCAGAUCCCCUCUGCAAAAUUUCCGGCAAACUACUUUUCAAGUUGUUGUUGGAUAAAUCAAAAUUAACUAAACUGCAAAGUGAACCGAUGGAGCUCGGUAUUCCUCCCCUGACCAGAUUCCAAGAAAGGUCAAAAUUACUGAGUGGUUAUUUUCCCAAUGGAAGUGGGAAGUAUUCCGUGUAUUUUAUUAUCAGCCAAAUCCAUAACUUCUAUCCUUUUCCAUGAUCCUUGGAACAACUGAGUACAACUUGCUGAGAAAUUAUCGUUUCCAGAUAAAAUUAGGAUUUGCAAGUGCGGUAGCUCGCCUAGACCAAGAGGGAUCCUUCCAUAUAGACCACUGAAACUCAUGUCAACACUAACAAGGCUGCUUACAUUCAAAAGCCAUUGAGGGAACUCUGAAUCGAAACUGUUGAAGCUGAGGUCUAGAGCAGCGAGUGAAGUGAAGUUCACCAAACCAGGUGAUGAUAUCAAACAAGAUAGGCGACAAUCGGACAGAUGCAACCCCGACAACGACAGAAACCCGUUUAGCACACUGAUCCACGUGGAACUAACCAUUGAGAGGUUCACUCCAUCAAGCGCAAGAUAUUUCAGAGAACCAAGACCAGAAAUCCACCCGAGAUUAUUAGUACUUAACCACUGAAAGGGAGUAGGAAGAUCAAGAUACUGCAAGUUUGACAAAUUUUCUAGAUUUGGAGGAAUUGCACCACGAAACUUGGCAAUUGGCAGGUUCAGGUACCGUAGGUUCUCCAAAGAACCAACAAAUGCAGGAACUGGUACGCCAUCAAAAUUAUUUGAGCUCAAGUCCAAGAAUCUCAGAGACUUGAGUCGCGCUAAUGAAGGUCUAAUUUCUCCACACGGUUUCCAAUAAGUAUACAUACUAGAGUAGCCACGAAGAUCAAUGCUUAUCACCCCUCCAGUCCUCUCAUCGCAGCCUAUUCCACCAGCAACAAUUGCUUCCUUGCCAUGAGGACAGGCGAUUAUAAGGAUCUUGAAGGCCAUUUUUGAAGUCAAUUAGAGCUUCCCUAUCAGACCCUGAGCAAUUCCCAGCAGGGAUAUUGCCGUCACAAGCCGAUAGCCAUGCUAAAAUGGAGAUAGAGACUAGUAUAAUGCAAAGGGAUGAAUCUCUCGCCAUCUUGAUCAAAAUAUGUAAAACUGAAGGUAGCAUUACAAGGACUAGUAACCCGGGACUAGUUUGUUUCAAAUAUUGCUUGAAAAGUCAAGUGGGAUCAGCAGGAUAAUCACGAGAUGUCCAAAGAAAGUUAAAGAGAUGUUGACUGAUUGAGUCUUUGUGAGUAAAAUAUUUAGGCGUGGAGUAUAAAAGGAUUCAAUGACUUGAAAAACUAAGGGUUAAUUCCUUGAAAAACCCCAAACUAGUACACCUAUAAUAAAUUUACUUCAAAUUAAUUUGUUGAUCACAAAAAGUCCUAAACGGGUACACUUAUGACAAAUUUACCUUAAAUGACCACAAAAAAUCCCAAACUAGUAUUUACUCUAAACUAAUUUGUUCAACUGCCAAAAAUCUCAAGCUAAUACAUUUGCGAUAAAUAUACCUUCCCUUAGAUUGAAUCAAUAUUGUAAAAACCAAAAAAAUAAUACAAUUGUAAUAAACAAAAAGUAAAUCCCAAAUUGGUACACUAGUUAACUAACACAUAUCAUCUAACUUAACAAAGAGUAAAUUUAUCAUAAGUAUACCAAUUUGAGGUAAAAUUGCCAAAGUGCACCAAUUUAGGGUUUUAGGUGGACUGACUCAGUCUUUGCAAGUCAAAUAUUUAGGCGUGGAGUAUAAAAAGGUUCAAUGACUUGAAAAAUUAACGGCAUCUAAUGUAUUUAAUUCAUUGUUUUGGGCAUUCAUGAAUUCAUUCACAUGAACUGGUCAUCUCAUUUUCGUAUCAACAUUAGAUCUUAUUUAUGAUAUUAUGCCAUCUCAUGCGUUGAUCUCGUUUCUCAACUAUUGUAUCAAGUCAGCUUUUGGAAUUGCCCUUCUUUUUUACCAACAGCAAAAAGAAUUUCUUGAUGGGCACACUUCCCGCAAGAAAAAAAAAUUCAUCUUGAAUCCAGUUAUCUUCAUUGAUGCCAAACAUGAGUGCAGGACUUGGAGAACUGAAUAGUCGUGGAAAAGAAAAGAAAGGGAUUUAGAGAAUGGUGGGAGUCUGAAAUUGAUUUGCAAUUUUCUCGCCCAUGUAUCUAUAAAUUAUUGAAACAAUUACAACUUUUUGAAAUAAAUCAUAUAAACAUUGACAAUGAAACAAUUAAAACUUUUGAAAUAAACCAUAUAAACAUUGACAAUUGAACUCAAAUAAGUGUUAGUAAUUUUGUGUAAGGUUUUAGUAGCUUGGGACCUUUAUUAAUUGGUAAGUUGCAAAAAUAAGCGUUGAUAAAUCAUUGGAACUGUUGGUAGCUGCGUAACAAUUGAAUAAUCAUUAGUAACCAUGUCAGCUAAAAGUUAAUGAUUUCACAUAAGAAUUAGGUGAUUUUUCAUUGGAGUCGGUAACUUUAACAUGCUGAUAUCCACAAAUAAAUGUUGAUGAAGUCUUAAGAUAGGUGGUGAUUUCAAAUAUCAUUAGAUGAACAUCAAUAGUUCAAUAAAAUAAGCAUUAGUAAAGCCAAAAGCAUAUGGUAACCUCAUCCACGAAAAUGCGUUAAAUCAUUCGCAAUAAUAUCGGUAAUUUGCUAUCAUGUAAUCUUAAUUCAAUGGUAACUCUAAUAAAUAAUAAUUGGUAAAUUCUUAGAACAAUUAAAAAGUUAAUAAACGAGAGUUGGAAAAUAUUUUAACAAAAUUAGUAACUUUAAUACGUUGGUCAGGCAUGUAAAUAACAUGAGUAAUCUACACAAAUAGUUUGUAAUUUAAAACAGUCAAAUUACUGACGGUCCUUUCCCAAAAUUGUUACUAACUUACUAAAAGCCAAAUUACUAUUGUACUUUCAUAUAACAGUGGGUAAUUUAUUAACAUGAUACAGGUUAAAUAAGAUGCCAGUCAGUUUAGUUGCUAAUAGGUUUGACAUUUAACAAAACUUAAAAUGAAUUAGUGGCACCGAAUAAUGUUCUGUAUAUUCAUACACGGAGCGCUGAUAAUCUGAUUGUUGGGUCUUAAUUAUGUAACCCUUCUUGAGCUUGUGGUUUGAGGGUCUUCACAGAUGAGGGCAGAUGUGGAACUGCUUGAAAAUGCGCAUAUAGUUCCAGCGACUAAUGUCCAGAACCAGACACUAUAAAAUAUCAUGGACAGCUUUCUUCAGCAAAAGAUGCUCCAAGUCUGGCCGAGACCAGUUAUCUAGAAUCGACAGAAGCAAUAAGUUAAUUAGCUUUUGUGGUGCAUCUACAUAACAAUCCAACUACCAAGAAAGUCUACCAUUCCGUGAAGCUUCCCCAGAGAGGUCAGAGAAUAGUGCCAUAGCUCAGGCAGGGGGAGAGAGAGAGAGAGAGAUGAACGUGGUGUGUGUCACCAGAGCAUCAGGCUAUAUGGCGUCAUAGUAAGUGAAACUCCUGCUCCAAAGUGGCUACACCAUCAAAGCAACCGUUCGUGACCCGAGUCAGUUCAAGACCCUUGAUUACAUUCAUGCAUGACAUCGUUUAUGGCUUCACCAGUCCAUAUCAUUACAAGAAGUUGUUCUAAUUUACAUGUAACGGGUGAUACAAAGAAGACUGUGCAUCUGCUUGCUCUAGAUGGAGCCAAGGAGAGACUUCAUCUUUGUAAGGCAGACCUACUGGAAGUAGGAUCUUUUGAGUCCAUUGUCGAUGGAUGUGAUGGUGUCUUCCACACUGCAUCACCUGUGCUUCUCACCCCCAAAGACCCCAAGGUUCUUUUGCUCUUUCAAAGGCUUGUGUCAUGGUCUCUCAAAUGUUCUUUUUUCCCUUGUUUCUUUGGAAACACGAGGUAGAAAUUAGCGCUUAAAAAUAGUGUUGCCAAACCAGUGGUUUUUUAAAUUGUAUAUCGUUUUGGCCAUAGCAAUUAAAUGCAGAAGUUGUAAUAGUCUACAUAUACGCAAAGUAGGAGCCAAUUUCAAACUAUUAGCAAGAAUUCAAUGGCAAAAUAGAAAGCUUCAACUCAAGGUUUCUGCGAGGGCAACAAAUCUAACUCUUCAGCACAAUGCAUUCAUCCAUAUUGCGGUUUCUCCAUCUCUAUAUAUGUCCUCGACUUCAAUAAGUUCAGUAGUUCAUACUUGUCUUUCCGUGUCUCAGAUGGAGCUGAUAGAUCCUGCAGGGAGGGGAAUAAUUAAUGUUCUUUCUUCUUGUGCCGAAGUCCCUACAAUCAAGAGAGUGGUGAUAACAUCUUCUAUGGCUUCAGUUGCAUUCAAUGGAAAGACUUUGACUCCUGAUGUGACAUUAGUUGAGACUUGGUUUUCUGAUCCAGUAAUCUGUCAGAUAUCAGAGGUAAUUAUACGUGACAUUCUAAAUUCACCUAAGUCGUCAGAACAUGCCAUUUUUCACCUUUCUUGCAUCAUCAAUUAAAUCUUAGAAAAUGUCAGAAAUGCAGAACGUUUUCCAUUUUUGUUUUUCCUUGGAUGAACUACAUAAAAAAAAAAUUCUACUCAGAUUUGGAUCUGUCGCAAGUUCUUCCUAGUAACUUUAGACCAUCACAGAGGAGCUAGCAUGCAUCAACUACUCAAAUUGAUUUCAUUGUGCACUUCUUGCUUUUCUGUUUCAGCUUUGGUACCCAGUUCGAAAACCUUAGCUGAAGAGCCAGCAUGGAGAUUUGGAAGAGAGAAGGGGAUCGAUUUGUUCACGAUGCAUCCUGGGUUUGUCAUAGGUCCCCUGCUACAAUCUUCGUUUAAUCUCAGCACAGAAAUGUUUCUCAAUCUCAUAAAUGGUAGUCACAAGUAACUGAUAAAUUUAUUAUAUUGUUUAUUCUGAUGAGAUUAGGAUUGUUAUAAGUAAUUCCGUAAAUAGUACUUUUACACGAUUUGUGCUCAGUAAUUUGUCCUCAACUUAACAAGCAAAUGUCAAGAGGAUAUAUAUGUUGAUUCAUUUUAUAAUGGACAAAAGAUACGCAGGAUGGAACUUAUUAAACUGAUACAGACGGUGAUACAUGUGAUGGAAUUUAAUUCAAUGAAAUACACAAAUUUAUUGGAACCAUAUUUAUAACAAGAGGAGACUUACAAGUGAAGUUGUUCCCAUCUGAUGCUGAGAUAUUUGCUGCAGGAACUCACCCUCUUCCUGGCGCAAACUAUAGAUCUGUUGACGUAAGAGACGCUGCACGUGCACACAUUCAUGCCUUUGAGUCCCCUUCCGCUAAAGGCAGGUAUUGUCUUGUUCACAAAGUCGUGCAUUCUGACGAUGCUUUCAAGAUUUUUCAAAAGCCUUCUGUGCCAACCUAUAAAAUAUCAAAUGACAAAGCCAGAAGUCUGGGCAUCCGCUUCACUCCUCUGGAGGUGAGUUUUAAGGACACUGUGGAGAGCUUGAAAGAGAAGGGUUUCUUCAAGGACUGAUGCUGCAACAGGCAACUAAAAGAAUAAAAACCAUGCCAAAGUCGAUUAGAUGGGCAUUUUCUGCUGUAAUACACUUAUGACAGAGUUUUCUUCAGGAGAUCCGAAGUUUUCUAAUUGCUCACAGAAUAUGUACAAUGCCACCUGAAGCUUACUGAAGCAGCCAUUUUCAUUGUCAGACAAAUGUUUGGCUGUUAUCUGUAUUGAGUAACUUGAAAUCCAGGAGUUCACGUUUGCAUGGUAGUGAAACUCCAGCCUCCUGUGUCAAAGGGAAAAAAAAGACAAAAUGGCAAUAAAGCCGAUGAGUUUAACAGCCAAAAUUCUACGUGUAGUAAAGGUGCAAGUGAUGCAGUCAAUUGCAUUAAACAGGAAAUGUACUGGCCUGCUUUCCCAGGGCAAAAUGCCAAUCCAAUUGAGCAACUGGCACCACAGCAUUCACCUUACCCCCUCAUUCAAGAACACAGCGGAGCAGGGAGAUCUUCUCAUGUCUCCAUAGGCUCAUAGCCCCUCAAUUGACAACAUUACAGCGAUGCGAAAUGAAAUGGCUAAGAGUGCGGUGGCGGUAAACAAGGCAAGUUUCACGCACAUAUCUGUAAGUCAAAGAAAAACAGAAGCAUGUUUCCCUGGAUCAAAGGAAGAGAUGCUUAACUUCUUAAAUUUCCAUCACCUCUCUCGGUGAGGAAAUUGCUACGGUAUAAGUGCUCGACUUCCACAAGCUAUCCCAUUUCACCGGUUGUCUUUCCCAAAUCCAAUAGCAGAUUAUAUUUAGAUUUUCAAGUCGGCAAUCAUCGAUAAAAUUAUAGUUCCACCAUCCACAAACCCGUUAAAAGAUUACCGUGUAACUUAAAAUUUUAGAAGAGGAGUUUAACUAUCUGCAAAUUACCAAUGAAAAAAAAUAUUAUCACCCAAAAACUCCAUAGUAGAUUUACCGCUUGGAAAAAGCAAUCUGUGCGGUGUCGUUGGAGUCGCAUCGGAAGCAAUAUACUUAGUCCGCCUAUACGAGACAACCAGGGAAAGAGAAAGAAGAACACACGUGUAGUACCAGGAUGACGUGGCAUAUAUAUAUAUAUAUAUAUAUAUAUAUAUAUAUCUAUGAAGCCCAACCACAACUUGACACGUGUUCAUGACCUGGACAAACAUAGAAAAAGUAAAAAUCUAGCUGGAAUUUUUCGGUCUCUUCUCCCGUCUCCUCCAUCCGCAGUCGCCGGUGUACUCGCUGGUGCUGCUUCCAGGCCGACCACUGCGGUGCAUCCAUGGCCGAGCCACCCCUCCUUCGUUGGCGGCGGCUUACAAUCGUUGCCGUCCACGGGCGAGCCAUCCACUUCGUUGCAGCUCGUCCAUUCGGUCAACGGUGGACCUGUUAAUUUGAAGGCUCACUUCUGUGGAUCUGGGGAGUCGCCCGAUCUGUUAUUUUAGAGUUUGGGAGCCCCCAGAUCUGGCGGUGGACGAAGAAGAAGAUGAUCUUGCGGUGGCUUGGCCAUGGACCAUGGCUACUGAUCUGGCGACGGACGGGUAUGGCCGCGAGCAAUGAUGAAGGGGUGGCUCGGCUCAUGGACCUCCGCACAAAUGAGCCUGACUGCAACCACCGUCGAUGGAGGAGGAAGAAGAGAGAAAAGGGGAGGCCCACGUCAUGGACAUGUGUCGAUGCGCGAUUGGAUUUUAGCACACAUUGCUUGGCACCACAUCAGCCCAUGACGCCAUGACGUGGUGUUAUGCGACCAUUCAACACUUGCUCGAGACUUUCCUUGAGUAAUGCAUGACAGACGAUCUAUAUGUCUAAUUAGAAAACUGAUCACUCACGAUCAAGAAGAGUAGGUGGUCAUUUGUCCCAUUCAAUUUUUUCUAGGAACAUAUUUAAAACAAAGAGUGAACGUAAGUCCCUCGCACAAGCCGGUCAAAUAAAUGAUCAUGACAAAGUGUCGAGGUUGAAUAUAUCCCGAAUUCAUAAAAGAGAAUUCCCACUUAUAAAUGUAUUGCAAUCAGUAUCCCUCUCAUCCCCUGUUCCAAGGAGAAGAGAGGAGCGGAGAUGAGUACAGCAGAGAAGGUGGUGUGUGUAACUGGAGCGGCCGGUUACAUAGCCUCCUGGCUUGUCAAAGUGUUGCUUCAGCGUGGCUACACGGUCAAAGCAACUGUACGCAAUCCCAGUAAGUUUUUUAUCUUUGCUCAUGCUCCGUUGUUCACAAUAUUGGAUUUCUGAAUCUUUGGUUUGUCCAAUUUAGCAGUUGAACGGUUUACUCUUACUUAGUUGGAAACUUGAAAUGUUCUAGAUAAUAUGGAAGUGGUACCAAAAUCUGUUACUCAGUUAUGAUGAGAAAACUAUUCUCUUGUAAUAUCUCUUACCUUUGCAAUUAACUCAUACAUGCAUGUGUGUACUUGUUUGUAAGGGUUUGUGUGCAUGCCUAUACAUAUACGUUAUGCUCAGGGUACGUAUGAUACAAUAGCAUCCGAGUCCACUAGCUGAAGGUAUGAAGCUCUUGUAAUAUCUGAUUCCAUUGGCUUAACUAUUCAAGUUUGCACACAAUCUUAUGCUACCUCUAUAGUUAGAUCCAAUGCAUAGCGUACAUUAGAAAUUUAUAUUUGUGGUCUUCUUAUCUAUUGAUAACAUUUCGUGUUAAGUGACCAAAAGCUCCCAGAGUUUCAUUCCAUCAAAUCAAAUUCUCCUUUUUUGAAUGCAUAAGCAGGUGAUCCAAAGAAGACACAGCACCUUCUGGAACUUGGAGGGGCUAAGGAGAGACUACAUAUCUUCAAAGGAGAAUUGCAGGAGGAAGGGUCUUUUGACUCAAUAGUUGAUGGGUGCGAGGCUGUCUUUCAUACAGCAUCACCGGUUUUUUUCUCAGCUUCCAACCCUGAGGUAUCUGCAUAUUGCAGUUGUACAUCAUGAUUUCAUGGAUUUGUUAAAUGUAAAGCAUCACAUCUUUCAAAUUCUAGUUCUUUUUCCCUUGUCGUCUGGUGCAGUUUAUCAGACGGCAAAUGAUCUAACAUUUCUUGGAUGAUUCGACAAAACCAUUCUAAUCAGAUUCCUUUCCUUACAUGCCGCAGGCUGAAAUAGUCAAUCCUGCAGUUGAAGGUACCCUAAAUGUUCUCAGAUCAUGUGCAAAGGUCCCUUCUAUCAAGAGAGUGGUUUUGACAUCCUCCAUGGCUGCGGUUGUGUGCAAUGGGAAGCCUUUGACCUCUGAUGUGGUAGUUGAUGAGACAUGGUUCUCCGAUCCAGCAUUCUGUAAGGAAUCAAAGGUCUGUAAGUAAGCUGGCUUUUGACAGUAGAAUCUCUUUUGCUUGGUCUGUGAUGCCCCAUCAACUGGAUGAAUUUUUCCAAUAAAAAAUCGUCAAUAGAUUUGAUUUUGGCUAGUAUUCAAGCUUGAUUCGUGUUAAUUUAAUUGAAUACUUGAGGCUGAACAUAGCUUAAUCUUAGUGGCCAAGCAGUCAAGAGGUAUCAUCUUCCUUGCCUUAAUGGUUUUUCCAUCCACCUAUCUGUUUAAGCCCUCAACCUUCAAGCAUGUUCGUUUGUUUGCCCAUAUUUGGCCAAUGUAAGAUACACAAGUUGGGUGCUUUGCCUCACUGAAUACCUCUAUAUGACAAUUAGAUUUUUGUGAUGGACAACUUUUAAAGAAUUUCUUUUCUAGUGCUCCUCAUCCAUUGCUUUGAAAUGUCAAACAAGGCAGAGCAAAUUCAGUGUCAUGUCGAUGAUGAUCACAUCCAUCAGUGGUGCGAGCUCUUUCACUCUUUCAUCGCCUGACUUCGGUUUAAUUAUUUUCAGCUUUGGUAUGUGCUAUCUAAAACCUUAGCAGAGAAGGCAGCUUGGGAUUUUGCAAGAGAGAAUAGGAUGGACCUGGUCGUGAUAAACCCUGGACAUGUGAUUGGCCCUCUCUUGCAGUCUACCAUCAAUCUCUCUAUGGAGAUGAUACUGAACCUCGUCAAUGGUAUUACUUAAAAGUCAAUGCUUGACAUGUCUAUUAUCAUUGUGUCAGCAUUUUGGAUCUCAUUUUUUGUCUGAUAUUGACCAUUGAUAUUUUGCAAAUGACUAAGGACCUGUCGCCAAAUUUCUCCGCAAGAUAGAGAUGCAACUGCACAUGGAAACUUAUUUUCCUGCCAAAGUGCACUCUGCUCCUGUGAUUACAGAGAGAAUGAUUUGAGGCUUAUACAAUGCAGGAGCUCAAACAUUUCCCAACAUCUCUUACAAAUUUGUUGAUGUCAGAGAUGUGGCCCAUGCACAUAUUCUAGCUCUUGAAAAUCCUUCAGCUAGCGGCAGAUAUUGUAUGGCAGGAGAGGCAAUACAUUGUCAAGGCGUUUUGAAGAUCCUGCACGACUUUUAUCCUACACUGCACCUCCCUGAAAAGUAAGCCCCCAUAUUUCUUCAAUUUCUAAAGAGAAGAGUUACAUUUUAUGAGCAUCCCUAGAAGGAAUCCUAUCUACUGAACAUUGACAUUAUUAAAGGUGCAUGAAUCAUUGUUGAUGCAGAUGUGAAAAUGACAAACCAUACGAGUCGGCUCCUCGGGUGUCAAUCAAGGGAGCAGAUUGAAGGUCUGGGUGUGAAGUUCAUUCCUUCGGAGGUCAGUCUAAGAGACACUGUGGAAAGCCUCAAGGAGAAAGGCUUCCUCUCUGUUUGAGUUUCCUGACAAGUGACAAGGAAAACCCUAUACUCCAAAGGCAUAUAUAUGGUUUCCACGAACUUAUAGUCAUAAAAAGUUUCUGCAUAAAUUUAACGCUUCCCUUUUAUUAGACUCCAUUGAAGCAUGCAUAAUGUCUUAGAGUCACUUGCUCAGUGUAAAUUUAAACUUGAAAGCUGAUUAUGAACGUUGUUUAUUGGAGUAGUUUUCUGCUUUUGCCACUGAUUUCUAUUCCUGGCUUCAUGUGCGACUACUUUUAACAACCUGAGGUUUUGUAUGUAAGUUGAGGUGAAGCAAUGCCCAGUGUUUGUUCUGGGGCAGAAAGGCAACCUCUAACAUGGAUAAUGAGGAAUCCUGAGAACCAUUCAUAGUUAGACAAAAAUCCAAAAGAAUGGCUGGGAAAAUAAAUUAUUGAUUAUUCCCAUAUUCUUUUGGAGAUUCUCAUUAAUCAACUCCUACAACGGAUCAAAUGAUGAAUGACUAAUAAUAGGGCCACUAAUCUCUAUACUAAUUUCUGGCCGCUGCUCCACCAUAAUCGAUCACAGUAAAGCUGCACUUUAGUUUCUGGCGUGGUGCACAAUGAUCAAAUUUAAUUUUAUUGAAGGCCCUGACACCAGGAUUCGGGUAAUUUGCUUUAAUAUCAAAAUUUUAAUAUAAAGGGCAUCCCAGUGCACAAGGCUAUACUGAUUUGCAACUCAUCGUCUCUUUCCAUCUUUCUGAAGUUACCAUACUUACUUUCCCAUUUCUUGAAUUGAAAUGAACAAAACUUUCCAUAUAGAACUUUACGCAACACAUACGUACUGAUCCUCACUCUCACCAAACGCAAACAGAAGACCAGUGCGAACCAGAUCAAAUCUGUUGGCUUUUAAUUGGGUAAAGUUGAUCAUUGCCAUUCAAGAUGAAACAGCUCCUAUGAUUGUGAAUUAAAUAUCAACUUGAUGCAGGACUUAGCUUUCUUUUCUUUUCUUUUCUUUUUCUUUUUUUUUGUGCCCCUGAAAAGCAAUCUUAUAUAGCUCAUCUUUUCCUUUGGUAAAAGAAGAAAACAUCUUCAUGAAAUUGACUUGCAUUGAGCCAUGCAACGCUUGACAUAUGAAUAAGAGUUGGGGAUUCAUCAAAGUUUCCUCAUCUAGCUUUUGUGGAAAAAUAAAAGAAUUUGUCAAUGCCUCAUACAAGAUUGUUAGACUAACAAAUUUGAAACACUUGCAGAACUAAAGAUUUUCUAAACUUAGUAAAGAGAAUCUUUUUUGCCUUUAAUAUGAAUUGCUCUCCGCAUACUCUCUUCCAAGCCCCUGUUCAAGAUUCAAUGCCAAAAAGAGGAGUAGAGGAUGGAUGAGUACCACAACAAAGGUCGGAUGCAUAACUGAAGUGUCCGGUUACAUAGCAUCCUGGCUUGUCAAGUUGUUGCUCCACCUUGACUAUAUGGUGAAAGCAACUGUUUGCAAUCCCAAUAAGUUUAUGCAACUUUAUGUUCAUGCUCUAAUCUUCAGAAUCUUGAACCUUUUGAAUAUUCAGUCUGUUCAUUUUAGUAUUAGUAUGGUUUGCAAUUUCUUAGUUGAAACAUUUUAGACGAUACAAAAUGUGUAACAAAAUCUUCAUAACAUGAAUCUGUUCUUUCCUAAUCAUCUCUUACCUUUUGGAUAAACUCAGACAUGUAAUAUCCAAGUGUUAUUUGUGGGCAGUUGUGUGCACGCGUAUGCAUAUGCCUGCUUGCCUUUGGGGUUUCAGGUUGCCUAUUACAUUAAGUCGUCCAGAUUUAAUUGCCUGAAAAUUAGAUCUCUUGCAGUACGAUCAUAUGUGACCACUUGAGCAAAUCAAAUACAGAGCCAACAUCAUAACUUGAUAAUUGCAGUCUAGUGACUGAGAGUUACAGCAAUUUGGAUCAGCCAAAUUAAAUCUUGUUCUUGCAUGUGCAAUUAAACUUAUGAUUCAAAGAAGACAUGAUUUCUUCUAGCCCUCAAAGGGGCUAAGGAGAGAGUACAUUUAUUUAAAGCAGAAUUGCUGGAAGAAGUGUAAUUCGACUUGAUAGUUGAUGGGUGCGAAGCUGUUUUAUAUACAGCAUCACCGGUGAUUUUCUCAGUGGCUGACCCCCGGGCGUCUGUAUCUUGCUGUUAUCCGUCAUUUCUCUACAUCUUCAGUAUUGUAUCUGCAAAAUUCUAGUUCGUUUCAACUUGUCCUUUGUAUGUGCAGUUAAUCAAAUGGCAAAUGAUAUAAUAUUUCUAAGGUAAUUCAACAUAAAUUUAUCUGAUGGGCUUCUAAUCUUAUUACCGACUGAAAUAGUAGAUACUGCAGCCAGGGGGACCCUAAAUGUUCUCAAAUCAUGUGCAAAAGUCCCUUCAAUCAAGAGAGUGGUUGUGACAUUCUCCAUGGCCUCGCUUGUCUGCAGUAGAAAAUUCCUGACCUCUUUGGUAAUUGAUGAGACAGGGUCUCCGAUCCGGUUUUAUGUGAGGAACCGAAGGCCAGUAAGUAGACUGUUCUUUUCGACAUUGUUGGUCUCUUUUGCUUGGUCUGUCAUACCCUACACGAUCUUCAACACUUUUUUUUUCCUAGUUGGAAAAUUGCCAACAUAUUGAUUUUUACAUGAUUUGGAACACGAGCUGAUGCUAUAAAAUAUCGACGCCAAACAUAUUCACUCGAUGGCUUGAAUUGAAUCACUGUAGUGCCGAGCGGUCGAGAAAUGCUUCUCCCUUGCCUUAAGGGUGUGUUGUUUACCUAUUUGAUUAAAUCCUCAACCUUCUUGCAUAUGAACGUGCUCCCAUGUAUUAUUCUGAUAUAGGCACAUAACUAAAAAGGUUCUCAUUAUUUAAGACCUCUGUACGACCCUAAAAUUUUAGUUACCCAUAUCUCUUUAAGUGGUAGUUCUAGAAUCCCAGAUGAGGCAGCAUCGUCAAGUUGACGUCGGUUAUUUUUGUGAUAAGCGCAUGAGUUCUUUCCUUGCAUUAAUAUGGUCUUUCUAUUUUCAGCUUUGGUAUGUGCUUUCUAAAACCUUAGCAGAGGUGCCGGCUUGAAAUUGCUAAAGAGCACAAAGAUUGACCCGUCAUGAUAAAGUCAGGACACGUGAUUUGUCCUCGAUUAGAACUGGAUAACUUCAUGCCAUACGUGACUGUGACAUUAUAGGCAUAUAUGCACUACUAAGAUUUAUCCUCUACAACAACCUACAAGUGAUUGGCAUUCACAGUUUUGUUUUCUGCUUAUAGGUUUACAUUUUUAAGUCAGUUAUCUUGGUAGUGCUCUCACUUGAGCACUCUUAAUAAUGUGAGUUUCAAUGCUAAACGUUCUCAUUUGGGUAAAGUUACCAAUAAUUCUAUUUACAGUUCUGUUCGUUCCUGCCCGUGCGAGACCCCGGUAAACUUGACUGCCGCUCCUUAUCCUGGCCUCCUUUGAUCAGACCUGAUCUUUACAGGGUCACCAUCUUUAUAGAAGGCACGGCCACCAGGAUAAGGGUACGCUGCUUAUCUCUCACCCAUCGCUCACAGAAGAUCAGUGCGAAUUGCAAAAUUUAGCUGCUAAUUAGAGAAGAAGAAGAAGAAGAUGAGCACGAGAGAGGAGAAGCAGAAAGUGGUGUGUGUGACUGGAGGGGCAGGUUACAUAGCUUCUUGGGUGGUCAAGCUCUUGCUUCAGCGUGGCUACACUGUUAAAGCCACCAUGCGAGACCCAAGUAAGCUUGCCAUCUCUAUUCUCUCGAUAUCUUCUCUAUCAGUGUUUUCGUGCUCCUGCGCCCUUCAAAUUACGGAUAAAACCAUGCGGUGGAAACGGCUAGAAUCGUCCUCGAUGAAAUAAAUGUUAUCGGGACCCAUUAUUUUUUUUCAGUUAUAUUUCUUUUCUUGGUAAUUCUAUUUAAUGUUUUCUACGAGAUACUAGGCCAUGUUUCAUCCAUUGGGACACCAUGUAGAUUUCACUAAGUAUGCGGGGCGCCUUAUUGAAAUUUUAGAGUCUAAAGCUCUUGAUUUCUUCAUUCUCAUUUCGGCACUACGAAAACACAAUCUAGCAGCUAAAAUCUACCAUUAGAUCUCCACGAAUCAACUAAAUGAUGCAAGUAAAGUCAUUAAUUACCUCUUGAGCCAGAGCAAGUUCAUCCAAGAAUGAUGUAACUUAUCUUUUUCUGCCCAUUUGGCCAUAGAUGAAGCGAUUUUAAUAGUAUGUCAAUGAGGGUGACCACUAGAAUUCUGGAUUCCAACCCCUUAAAUGAGUAAUUUUCAUUCUUGUUUGUGUGUUACAGAUGACCCAAAGAAGACAGAACACCUUCUGGCACUUGAAGGGGCUAAGGAGAGACUGCAAUUAUUUAAAGCGGACUUGCUGGAAGAAGGGUCCUUUGACUCAGUAGUCAAUGGGUGCAUAGGCGUUUUUCAUACUGCAUCACCUGUCUUGCUCUCAGUUGCUGACCCCCAGGUACUUGUAUCUUGUCGGUUCAGUCAUCCUUCGUGCCUUAUACUCGUCUCUGUUGCAAUGUUGUCCUUGGCUUUUACAUAACCUGCUUACAUUUCACUCCAUUCCAUUAUCCAUGUAUAGGGGACUUCUCUAAUGAUCUUGCUUGUGCUCCAGCAAUCAGUUUCUAGUGAUCCGACACAAGGAGUUUCAAUUUUUUCUGAUAGUUCCGAUAGGUUCUGUUCUGAAUGAUUUUGUUUUCUCUUGCUUAAUUUAGGCUGAAUUAAUUGAUCCUGCCCUAAAAGGCACCCUUAAUGUUUUGCGGUCAUGUGCCAAAGUCUCUUCUAUCAAGAGAGUGGUGGUGACAUCUUCUAUUGCUACAGUCUCAUAUAUUGCAAAGCCUCUGAUGUCUGGUGAUCUAGUUGAUGAGACUUGGUUUUCAGAUCCAGACUUUUGUGAGAAAUCUAAGGUUGGUUGUCUGUAAUUUCUUCACAAUACUGGUAAUCUUGGAAUUCCUUUGAUUAUGUUUUGAUUAUGUUGAACCCAGUCCAUGUCGUGUCAAAGGUAACUGAGCUGAGGCAAAAGAUACUUAACAUUAUAAGUUUGGUUUUUCCUUGUUCAGCUUUGGUAUGUUCUCUCAAAAAUCUUGGCAGAGAAGGCGGCCUGGGAAUCGGCAAAGGAGAAUGAGAUUGACUUGGUCACGAUUAACCCAGGAAUUGUCAUUGGCCCUUUGCUGCAGCCCACUGUUAAUCUCAGUGUGGAGAUGAUACUGAACUUUGUUAAUGGUAUGGAUGUAUGACUAUUUUGCUAUUCCGCGUGGACUUACUCCUUUUUGGUUCUUGAAAAGUUAGUCUGAUGAUCCUAUGUUCAAAUUCUUAUGACUCUGGCAAAUAGUCUGAUCCAUGAUAGGUACGUCUGGUUUGCAAUUAAAGUAGGAGGGCAGUUGCGCUUUACAUAUUACACAAUACACAUGGUGCAUGUGUCUUCUUACAUAUAAACUAAUGGCAUUCAUUGAUGAGACCUUUUCCCACGCAUUUUGAUUGUAAGUUUCCAAGUCUGGAACAGAGAAAUGAAAAUUCUGAUAAGUAUCCGCUAUAAAUUGUAUGUCGAUGUCGAAAAUAACUUAACGCUUAUCGUGCAGGAGCUCAAACAUUUCCAAAUGAAUGUUAUUGUUUUGCCGAUGUCAGAGAUGUAGCGAAUGCACAUGUUCUAGCUUUUGAAAAUCCCUCAGCUUGCGGAAGAUACUGUGUAGUAGGAGAAGUCAUGCAUUGUCAUGACGCCUUGAAAAUUUUGCAGAAUCUGUACCCAACAUUGCACCUUCCUGAUAAGUAAGUUCUUUUUUCUGUAAUUACUCUUCCUUAUUUCCAACUCGUCUGCUGCUUGACUGUGGGCCAUUCAAAACAGCCUGUGAAGGAUUAGCACGCUUUUUUCCUCUGAGAAAAUACAUGAUGGGCCUUGUUGGUUGGAACGAAGUAGAGGGACUGCACUGAUUACGAUGAAAUUGGAGAUUUAAUAGCAAUAAACUUACUGAGGUCAUUGAAUAUCAGUUCAGGACUGACAAGAAAAAUUUGCAGCUUCAGGACAUUCCAUACAAGGUAAUUAAAUGUAACAUGGACUACAUAGUGAUUCAAAGCAUCGGAAGGAAUCUUCGUGUUCGUUUAUUAGUCUGUUCAAUAGAAAAAUGUGCGACAAGGUCAAACUUGGAGUAUCACCAGUUUAACUAAGUGAACAUUCAACGCCCAUUUAUAUCACAAGACCUUGAUCGUAACAUUCUUGAUCAGUUACUACCAAUUUCAAAAGUGGGUGUAAAUGCCAUCUUGUUUGUUUAGUAACAAAAGCCCGUCUGAGACAGCCACUGGAUUCCAUGUGACUGAUCUUCUCAAGAUGUCUAGGAGAAUCACACUUUGUUUGUCCAAUGAUGCAGAUGCGAAGAUGACAAACCUUUCGCACCGAAGUAUGAAUACUCAAGAGAGAAGGCGGAAGCUCUGGGUGUCGAAUUCACUCCUUUAGAGAUCAGUCUAAGAGACACCAUUGAAUCUUUACGGGAGAAGGGGUUCAUCUCGGUCUAGGCACCUGCUUAAAAACAGCACGACACUAGCUGAUAAUUCGGGGUUCCUUGCUUUACGAAACAAGUUUUACCGGUUGAAGUUUCUUCACGCGAUUUGUAGUCCGAUAUGACUUACAACUAGAAGUGUACAUUAUCUGCAGAAAUCUCUAAAGACCUGCAUCUUCUUGGGGUAAUAUUGCGAAUGAACAAGUUGAGCUAGCAUUUUAUUGGACGCCCUCAUCUCCGGUGUACUCCAUUAGACGCUACGUGGAAGAAAAAGAUGAUACAUACCAUUUAAAACCAGAUCAGAUACUCAGAAACCAAGGAUUUACAAAGGAAAUGAAGUAUUUCUUUUCCACGAGAAAGACAUAUGGGAAGACGAGAGAAAAUUGAAGAGAGGAAUCCAUUGGCCAAGGACAAAGGGAGAUUCCGCACCACUCGCUCCACGUUUGCCUCGUCCUUGUUAUGAAUCUUGCCGAGAAACGCGCAUGGCAACGCUGAAAGUAGUAUUCCUUUUGCUUGCCUUCCUUUUGAAAACAUUGUGUUGUUUCCUUAUUUAGUACAUAACCUUUUAUGUGUUUCAUUAGUGUUAUAAAACUUGUUGCGCAGAAUUCUAAUAUUUCGUUGCCAAAUAAAAAACAACUUUCCAUGCAUGGUGAUCUUAUGAUAUGAUUAGUGAUCUUUAUAUCUUAUUGUAAAGUAGUGUAACCGACUGUUUGUUGGUCAAAUGCACUAACGGUGAUUUACCAAAAUGUUGACAAUUUACCAAUAAUAAAUACAAUAAUACAUUAUCAACCUUCUCUUUUUUUUCACUAGGUUAUCACUCUAAACAAAAAAUUCAAAUGCGAAAUUAGUGACUUCCUACUGAAAUUGCAAGGUAGUAAGUUCCUAGCAGAGUGAAGAAUUUAUUGACUUCAAAUGAAAUGCAAGUUAUCAUUAUUUUGACGAGCUCGCCGGGCCUCGCCAAUAGGUCAAUAACUAUUGGGUCACAAAUGUAAAACUUAGCCCGCUUUUACCAUAGCAAGUUAUCAUCUUAGAAAUUUUCCGCUUAGUAGAUGGAUCCGCUUGUAAAAUUUGAAAGUAUUUGAUAAUUCAUUAGUUGAUACGAGUCAUGACAUCAUUAUUGAAACGAAUAAUAGUUUAUUACAUGGGGCUAAAUUGAAACAAAUCUUUUCUGUAGGCAUGGCAUCCGAAGACAUUUCCUUGAAACGUAGCUGUCUUAGACAAGUUGCCUUUGAGUCAGGCAUGACACAAGUGAUCGGAUAUUUCUAUCGGCGCCCAACCCCUGUGGUCUAGAAUAGGUGAUCGUUCAAAGUUUCUCCAUCUAUCUUCUCUGAUUGAAGGAUUUAAGUUGGCGAGACAUGUGAAGGUUGAAAAUUAUUCAAGUUGAACAUUAUCUGAAAGCAAUCAUAGAUGAUUUUUUUCCUUAUAUAUACCAGUAGAAGAUUCAGCUCCAAGGAUAGGAGAGGAGAGGGAAAAUGAGCACGACAGAGAAGGUGGUUUGUGUAACCGGAGGGGCUGGUUACAUAGCAUCAUGGCUCAUCAACUUGCUGCUUCACAGGGGCUAUACAGUCAAAGCGACCAUCCGCAACACCAGUAAGUUCAUCGUUUCAUCUUCGUGUCUUGUUCUUAAUUUUUUUUUUUUUUUUUUUUGGAUUCUUGGGUGGUGCACUCUAUUCUUAGAGAAUGAUUCACAGUUUCUUAGUCGAAUCAUUCGGAUGCAUGGACUUUGUACCAAAUUCCGUUUUUAUCAGAAAGUGUGCUUUUCUAAUCGUCUCUUCCCAUUUCGAUUCACUCGCAUAUGCGUGUAUUUAUUUGGAAGUGCAUAAGUGCAUGUGUACGCAUAUACUGAUUUGUCUAUGUGCUUUUGGAGCUAUGGCAAUAUAACAUGUUCGAGUUCGCUGCCUAAAGAAUUAAUCCCUUGCAAUAUUCGAAUCCAUUAUGUCUUAAUCCUGGUUUUUUAUAGAUGUGGAUAUGUUGCAACUCAGGUCAAGAUCAAGUACUAGCAUGUUUCAUGAUUCAUAACUUGAUGUCAUUCUAUAUGAAGGAACUUAGAUUGUGAUCUAUCAGAUCUAAUUCUGCAUUCUGGCAUGUGUAUAUAAGCAGAUGAUUCACAGAAGACACAACAUCUUCUGGCACUUGGAGGGGCCAAGGAGAGGCUCCAUUUGUUUAAAGCAGAUUUGCUAGAAGAAGGGUCCUUUGACUCGAUACUCGAUGGGUGCGGAGCUGUUUUUCAUACAGCAUCACCUGUGGUUUUCUCGGCUUCGGAUCCCCAGGUGUCUGCACAUAUCAGUUCCUUCCGCUUUGUACUGUAGAUUCAUACGAUAGAUGAUCUGAUAUUACUUGGGUGAUUUGGCAAAAUCGUACUGAUGACCUCCUUCAUGUUGCAGGCUGAAAUAGUGGAUCCAGCUGUCAGAGGCACCUCAAACGUUCUCAAAUCAUGUGCAAAAGUCCCUUCUAUCAACCGAGUGGUAGUGACCUCCUCCAUGGCUGCAGUAGUGUUCAAUGGAAAACCUCUGACCUCUGGUGUGGUGGUUGAUGAAACAUGGUUCUCUGAUCCGGUUUUCUGCGAGGAAUCAAAGGUAGUAAGAUGCUUUUCUUGAUAUUGUUGGUCUCUUUUGCUUGGUCCGCUGUCUGUGAGUUCGUUCAUCGCAUUGUUGUGUCUGCUAUUUUCAGCUUUGGUAUGUGCUCUCCAAAACCUUGGCGGAGAAGGCUGCUUGGGAAUUUGCUAAAGAGAAGAGGAUCGACCUGGUCGUGAUGAACCCAGGACAUGUGAUUGGAACCUUUUGCAGCCUACAGUCAAUCUCUCGGUGGAAUUGAUAUUGAACUUUGUCAACGGUAUUACUUGAUGGUUUCUAUGUCACACGUACUAUUUUUCAUGAGAUGAUUCAUUCUUUUACACAUCAUGUCAGCAUUUGGCAUCUCUUUUAAAUUCUGAGAUUGACCAUGGGAGGGUUGAUUCAGUGUCAUAAUUGCAUAAUUACAUGCAGUCGAUUUCCAUGUGCAAGAAAAAACACGGUUGCUCAAGGAAAUUGAUUUUUGAUUAAAAAUGGCGUUAGCAGUGGGAAUAAUCGAUACAUGUAUGAUGUAGGAACUGAAGAAUUUCCCAAUGCAUCCUACGGAUUUGUUGAUGUCCAAGACGUCGCACUAGCACAUAUUCAAGCUCUCGAAAACCCUUCAGCCAGCGGCAGAUAUUGCGUAGUUGGAGGAGUAAUGCACUAUCCGGACAUGUCGAAGAUCUUGCACCAUCUCUAUCCCACAUUGCGCCUCCCAGAAAAGUAAGUUCCCGUUUUUGUUCAACUCCAUAGAUUAAAAGGUAACUUUUUUUCUCUUAAGAGCAAGUCGAGAAAUGGUCUUAUGGCGAGCAUAUACACUAACGUUAACCGAUGCUGCACGAAUCAUGCAUUUUGAACACAGAUGUGAAGACAACAAGCCUGCUGUGGCGGCUCAUCGGAUAUCAAGGGAAAAAGUAGAAGGUUUGGGUGUGAAUUUCAUACCUCUGGAGGUUAGCAUAAAAGAUACUGUUGAAAGCCUCAAGUAGAAAACUUUCCUCUCUUUUUGAGCUUUUUCUUCGGAGGUCGGCCUAAGUGACAUCAUUGGAGCCUCAAGGGCGAAGGCGGAAUCUCUCUAUUUGAGCUAGCUUUUCUCGAUCGACAACGCUGACCUCAUAGUCAUACUUAAAAGGUUGUUGAUAACGUAUUGUAUAUUUCAUAUAGUUAUCGUGGUCGGACCAUGUAUGGUCUCUUACUCUUGUUGAAUAGAGCAUUCCAUCUCUAAACUUGAAAGACGAUGCAAUGCUGAAUGUCUAUCCUAUAGUUAUUGUAUGCGAAUUUGCUUUAAUAUUCAAUAACAAUAUUAGGAUAAUCGAGUGUGAUAAUAUUGAAAAUAAUUUAUUGAAAAAAUCAAGAGAAUUGAAGGGCUCAAUAUAUUCAAGAAAAAGUCCAACCAAAAAAAAAACAUAAAUUAAGGGAUCAAAUAUGGUUUAUCCCAAAUCAAGAAUUAGAUAAGUACAACUACUCAGGGUGCGUUUGGCUGGCACCUAUUUCUGUUCCCAGGAACAGAAAUUUCUGUUUUUUUGUUCCUGGGAACAAAAAAGGAACAGAAACGCGUUUGGGUGCGUUUCUGUUCCUUUUUGUUCUUUUGUUCCCAGAAACAAAAAGGGAACAGAAAUAAGAAACAAAAAAUUCUUGUUUCUUAUUUCUGAAACAUAUUUGAGGAACAAAAAAGAAACAAAAUGGUGUUCUCUUGCGACCCUCUCCUCCUGCAAGCGUCUCCACCGUCGUCUUCUCCGGCGCCUCCCACUCUCCGGCGCCGACAGCCGCCUCUGUCUUGAGACCAUCCGGCUUCUCCACCAUCGACCUCUCCGGCACCGACAGCCGCUGCAAGCGUCUCCACCUGUGAGCGAGUGACGUAGCUGGGUCGUGGGUCGCUGGGCGGCGACGGUGGCUGCGGUGCUGGGCUCGGCCGUGGGGUCUCGAGCGGCGGACGUCUACGAGCAGAGCGGCGAGGACUGCCGGUCGAGUCGUGGGCCGGCGCGAGGUCAACGAUCGAGCGGAUCUCGAAGUCGUGGGUCACGGUGCGGUGAGAUCUGAUGCGGCGGUGGCGAACGAAGGCUCGAGACCUGCAGAUGCGUCGAUCGGGCGUGAGGCGGAGGGGCGGUCGCCGAUGCGGUGGCGGCGAGGAGGCGUCGAGCGCGGUCGCCAAUGCGGUGGAGGGAGACGACGGUGUGGCUCUAGGUCACCGUCGGCACGGCGCGGCGAGGCCGACCUCGCGCCUGGCUGGGCGAGCUCGAUCUCGCCCAGAUCCGGCGAGGCCGAGCUCGCCCAGCGGCCGGCGAGCCUCGUCGUGGCUGGGCGAGGCCGCCGGCGACCGGCCAAAAGAAGAAAAAAGGAAAAAGCAAAAAGGAAAAAGGAAAAAGAAAAAAAGGAAAAAUAAAUAAGAAAAAUAAGAAAGAAAAUAGAAAAUAAAAAUAAAAAUAUUAAAAAAUUAAAAGAAAUAAAAAAAUUAUACAAACUUACCCAAUGUGUUUCUGUUCUUUUUAUAUUUCUAAAAUGAAUUUACCAAACGCAUUUUUUUGUUUAAAAAUUGUUCCUUAGAAUAGAAACACUUUUUUUUUAUUUCUGUUCCCAGAAAUAAUUUUUAAACAGAAACGUUACCAAACGCACUUUUAAUAUCUCAAAGCUUAAAGUAAAGCUACUCAAGAGGAGUUGGAAGAGUUCCUCUUGAACUUGGGCGCCGCCCCAGGACAAUGGAAAGCGAUACGAACCUUUCGGCUCAAAGAAAAGUCGAAACGAAAUGUAAUUAUUACCAAGUAAUGUCACGUACGUAAUGGCUUACGAGUUGCGAGAAGGCGUCUAUCGUCAACCAGGAGCGACAAAAAAUGGGUUUGGAUUAUCUUUAAAGAUUCGGCAGAACAUCGGGCUCUUUAUAAUAUAAUAAGGUCCAUCUGCUGCUCCGCCACCCACUCCAGCACUCGUUCACUCUCUCCCCCGAACCACGAGAGAGGAGACCAGCGCGCGCGCGAACUCCACACGGUUCAGGUGCCAAGAACGGAGGAGAUGAGUGGAGCAGAGAAGGUGGUGGGCGUGAUCGGAGGGUCGGGUUACAUAGCUUCUUGGCUGGUCAAGCUCUUGCUCCUCCGUGGCUACACUGUUCGAGCCACUGUCCGAGACCCAUGUAAGAAAAAUGUUCCCUUUCUUUAUACUCUCUCUCUCUCUCUGCUCUGCUGUUGGAAGAAAAAAAACAGAGCUGUUGAAAUCCGAUAACCCACAUGAAGUUGUGUCCAAACCCUUUGUCAGAGUGAAACCAUCAAAGCUAUUUUUUUCUCUGAGAGAUAGAAGAAUUUUGGUAGCUUCAUUAGUUUUGUGUUGUAGAUUGCCCUCUAAUAUAUGUAUCUAUCCAAUAAAGUUCAAAUCUUUUGCAUCCUGUUCGACUUUGUUGAAGAAGUGGCACGCUCAAACCAUCGUCUAGAUUCCGGAUUCUUGAUUUAUUUAUUUUCAGUAUCAGUUUUGCGCAAGUUUCUCCGGGAACAAUACGGCUCUUCUUGUCCCGCCUAUGCCCUUUCUGAUUGUAGAUGCUACUGAUGUGUCGGUGAGGGUGCUUGCAAGUUUUAGAAUUUCAAUCAGUUAAAUGGAGAAUUUUUCUCAUUCUUGUGCAUGUGCGACAGCCGACCCAAAGAAGACAGGACACCUUCUGGCACUGGAGGGGGCAAAGGAGAGGCUGCAUUUAUUCAAAGCAGAAUUGCUGGAAGAAGGGUCCUUUGACUCGGUAGUCGAUGGAUGCGAAUGUGUUUUUCACACUGCAUCGCCUGUUUUGUUCUCAGCUGCUGACCCCCAGGUGCUUGAAUCUUGCCACGUUAAUCAUCCAACGUUGUCCUUGUUUUCCUAAAUAAGUAGAUAGCUCAUGGACAAACCAUUCCAUUCCAUGUGGAAGGGGAUUUGCUUUUCUUCUGCCACAAUGAGUUCAGUUUCGGUUUUCUGAUACUUUAUGAGAAUUUUACCGAAUGAUUUCUUCUAUUGCAUGACUCAGGCUGAAUUGAUUGAUCCUGCCCUAAAAGGCACCCUUAAUGUUCUAAGAUCAUGCGCCAAAGCCUCUUCUAUCAAGAGAGUAGUUGUGACGUCCUCUAUGACUGCAGUUUUAUUCAGUGCAAAACCUCUGACUUCGGGCAUUGUCAUUGAUGAGACUUGGCAUUCAGAUCCAGAAUUUUGCGAGAAAUCCAAGGUUUGUAUAUCAAAAUUUCCUGACAAUAUUGCUGUUCAUUUCUUUCACUUGUGAAAUUUUAGUGUUGAAUUACAUUCAGAGUUCCUGUUACAUGGUGAAACUGGUAAAAUGCUGAUUCUGAGAGGAGUUGGGACAUCAGGGAACAUUUCUCUCUUAAAUCACAUAGCUUUCACUAGACACUUUUUACGGAUACCCAAACCAAGGAGUGCCUGUCUCAUCACUUACAGUUGUUUGUGUUACUCUUGCAAUUUGGCCUGGCGCCAUGUUAGAUGCUACAUAUGCUUAUUGAAUACAACAGUUUCUCUAUACUUUACUUGCUGGAGGAGAACUACUUAUCUUUCGUUUCUUUUAGCCGGUAAUCUCCGAAUGCCUUGGAUGACAUCGAAUGAAGUCAAUGUCAUGGCAAUGGUUAUUAUAUGUGUUGAAUGAGGCGAAACAUUCUAACAGUCUCUUUGGCUUAUCUAUCUUCAGCUCUGGUAUAUGCUUUCAAAAACCUUAGCAGAGAAGGCAGCUUGGGAAUUCGCCAAAGAGAAAGGAAUUGACCUUGUCACGAUAAACCCAGGAUAUGUGAUCGGCCCUAUCUUGCAGCCCACUGUUAAUCUCACUGUGCAGACAAUACUGAACUUCAUUAAUGGUAUCACUAUCAUCUAGCCAUAAAUUAUGUUUGUUAUUGAAUCUUUGCCAUUUUAUUUCAGAGCGUCUUCAUCAAACAUUUGUGCAUGCUUUUUCUCAUUACCCAAAAGACAAUCUCAAGGAGUAACUAUAGAACUAUGUUUCUGAUUAAAGACGAUCUCAAUGAAGUCAUAUGCCCUUAACCAUACUUAUGAGUUAUGGGCGCAUGUGUCUCAGAAUGUAUUUCUGCAUUGGUCCAUGGAAUAGCUAUCCUUCUUUGCUAGAUAACUGAAUUUGGCAACAUGAGGUCCCGAGGCCCUUUCAUUCUAUCUACUGAAUCUGUCUUAUGUAUUUAAGGGUUUGCUUAAUUGGCUGCACAGACACUAUUAUAAUCAUUUCUGGUAGAUUUCCAUGUGCGACAUGGUUUUCAACUACUGGCAGUGGCAGCAUUUGGUACAAAGUUGUCUUGACGUUUGCAUGGGAGUAAUUGAGGCUUAUCCUGCAGGAGCUCAAACAUUUCCAAAUACAUGCUAUAGAUUUGUUGAUGUUAGAGACGUCACACUCGCACAUAUCCUAGCUUUUGAAAAUCAUUCAGCUCAUGGAAGAUAUUGCGUAGUAGGCGAAGUUAUACACUGCCAUGACGCUUUGCAGAUUCUCCGAAAUCUCUACCCCACUUUGCACCUCCCCGAGAAGUAAGUUAUCAUUUUUCCUUAAUUCUUAUCUUCUGUCAGACUACUGUGCAUCCAAGAGAUUACGGUUGUUUUCAUGAUGGUGUAGAUGCGAAGAUGAGAAGCCUUUCUCGUCAAAGUAUGAGAUAUCAAGAAAGAAGGCAGAAGCUCUGGGUGUCAACUUCACUCCAUUGGAGGUGAGUCUGAGAGAUACCGUCGAAUGCCUCAAGGAAAAGGGAUUCAUCUCUAUCUAGGCACUUGCUUAGAACAGCAUAUCACAAGCUUGCUAGUAAUGACUUGUGGACCUGUGGUCUGUCCUCAGCCUUUCAGCUCCUAAAUCAUACAACUGUUCUGAAUAAUGUAUCAUUACCCACUUUUAGAGAUUACACUGCCAGUUUUUCCCAGCUAAUCUUAAGUUAUUGAUGUUUAGUUUCUCUGUCCAAUUUGCCUGCCGAAACGACUCAUCAUAUAGAACAUCAGAAAUAAUCUCGAAGACUUUGUAAGCAAUGUCGAAAACUUGUGAGAUAAAUUGAGUUAAUGACUCAAGCUAGCGGUUAAGCCAAGAAGGCUCCUUUCAGGCCAACAUACUUGACUGCCAUUAUGUAUAACGCCAAUAGAAAAAUGAAGGACUUACUAUAAUUGGAUAUGAAUAUCAAAGACUGAUUCUGCCAAUGACUUAUAUGACCAAAAAUUGGUGACUCAUGGUACUCUCAAUCAACAGAGCAUUGAACAGUGUUUCUGAGCUUAACAAAACCUUGAUAAUAAUAGCUGGAUCAUAAGUAGACAAUGCAUACUGGCUGCGAUUGCCAUCCCGAUGCAAGAGAGCUUUACACGACCAAAUUGCAUCUGAACUUGCAGCACCUAAUAGUUGAGCGUGCACUUUCUGUCUGCAGACGUAAUAUGUGGUUAUCAAACAAUCAAUCUUCACUUCUGAUGAAAGCAUCUGAACUGCCAUCUCAUUUCAUCUGCAUAUGCAAUGGUCUGACAGGCCUUUGUAUAACUCCCACUGCAUUAUCCCAUCCAUAGCUUCAACACCUUAUCUUCACCACCAGAAGCAACAUUCUCACCAUCUGGAUUCCAAUCGACCGCAAAAACCUUCUCACGAGAACACGUGCUAAAAUAAGUAAGUGGUAGUCCAUGAUAGACAUACAAACUUUAAACUUGUCUGAUGACAAUGUUAGGGGAACAAACCUCAUCCGUAUGACCCGGAAGAUCUUGUUUCAACUUCUUCAUGCGAAUAUCCCAGAUCUAAAAGUAAGCCAAAUAUUGAGCAAACAUUUAAGCAUUCAAAUCAGGCAAAAAUUCAUAAUAAUCAUAACCGGUAAAAAGGGCAGACUCCACAUGCUAUUGACAUUUACAAAUAGUUCAAACAGAAUUAAACAACAAGCAAGAGUACAUCACUCAAGCUUCCAUUCGUACUCUGCUUUACAAUAUCCUCAUCACCAUAUCUCGCAAAAUAAGCAGACCUAACAUGGUCUAACGGUUCAAAAAAUAACUUUAAAUAGACCAUUGAGAUCUCAAUGAAAACAAGUUGCACUAGAACUCAGCAACAACCGGGGGCAAAAAUCCUUAUUGCUUGCACCAUAAAUAAACUAAUUUCCUGUAACACUGAUAUUAUUUUCACAGAUAAUAUUACAAGCUCUCCUGUUACAAUUCUAAGUGACCACACUUGAUCUCUCUUAAAGCUGGCCCAUGACACACGUAAGUACUUUACGGAAAUCAUUCAAAUGCUAUAUGCUUUGUGCAACUGACCUUCAGGGUAGUCUUUGCUCCCACUUAAAAUAAGUCUACUAUCCGCAGACCAACUGUGCAUUAUGUAAAUCAUGAUUAGAAAUCAUUCUUGAAUGGAUAAGACGAGCAAAUUUUGAAAAUAUCUCAAACCUUAUCUGAUAUACAGGCCCGACAUGUCCACUGAAUGCAGCAACAAACUUCCCAAUGAUACCAUUACACAACUUCAAAGAUCUAUCAAACGAAGCACUAGCCACCCAUUGCCCAUCCGGUGAAAGGUAGACACGAUCCACAAGCUGCAAACAAAAAGCAUAAUUUCCCGCAUUUACACCUAAGACAGUUCAACAAGGAUCUAAAGUACUAGCCUCAAGAAAAUAUUAGGAGGAUGUCUCAUCCAUUGAACCAGUGCCACCAGGACCACAAUGUGGAGGACGUCCUUAUUUAGCAUCAUUAUGGCAAUUGAUAGUAUAUAAUGGAACACAAACAGUCUUCUAAAUACAGUAAAGACUUAGGGAAUCAAUCACACAGCAAAAGCAGGCAGCUGUCAAAUCAAUCUCCCUCCCUCCCUCCCUCCCUCCCUCCCUCCUCCCUCCUCCGUCACACACACGCACACACAUACCUGUUGAUGAUCGGUCAAGAACGGACAAUCAUGUUUUUGGAUGCUUACUGACAUAAGGUUCCCCACAAAACAGAGUAAUGNNNNNNNNNNNNNNNNNNNNNNNNNNNNNNNNNNNNNNNNNNNNNNNNNNNNNNNNNNNNNNNNNNNNNNNNNNNNNNNNNNNNNNNNNNNNNNNNNNNNUUUCAUUUUCUUGUAACUUUCUAAUGCAACUAUGUUCAUCAACAAAAUACAGAAGUUCAUAUAACACUUACCAGAAAGUAGAACUACAAAUGUGCAUAGACCCAAAGGCAGAGAAUCACCACAGAGCCAGAAGACGUGCUGACUAAUGCAUACUAGGUUGUAAGAAAAUAAUGUCCAGAGAGAAAUAACCAAUGCAUACUAAGUUGCAUGAGCAAAUCAAUAUGCAGAGAGAAAUAAAUGUUUGAUUUAUUGCCUCAUGAUAUAAAGAUGAUUCCACAUAAUAACAGUUACCUACUUGCUUCAUUUCUUCAGAAGAUGAAUACUGUUUUCCAGUGUGAUCAAAAGCUACAGUUCGAAGAACAUACUCAGUGCUCAGAGCAGGAGUUAACCCAGUGUCCAUGAUCCUACAACAAAAAUUUUACAGAAAUAAGGAUGAUCGUGAAAAAAAGAAGAGAGGGAUCUAGCAGCAACUUAGAUUAAGAAUGCGGACUUGGCAGUAGAAACUAAGAAAAGACAUAAUCACGCGAGCCAUGAAAACUAAACUCUAACCUUAAUAUGCAAUUCAUAUCUCAGACAUCAAAAAAUGGUGGUAUUUCAUUCCUACCGUCAAUAUCUCCCAAGAACUAUACAAUGAAAACAAUCAAGGACAUGAUAUCGCCAGUAGCUGGGCUAAAUAAUAUGCCCAAUUAGUAUGGGGUAGGUCACUAGUUGUCAAACUGCCUCCUGGCACUAAAGAGAUUGAGUGAAUGCAGCUACUCCAAAGGCGCAAAUAAAUAUAAGGCUCUUGUGGCGAAGAAGAAGACAGGCAUGCAAUGACCCUGCAAUCUGUAUAACAAACUUUAAAAAAGAUGUUACCUUCAAUUCCCUUAUCACCUUCCCCUGGGAGUUUCUCAGACAUUAAUUGUACAGUCCUGGGAGCUGCAAGAAAUUUAAAAUAAUUACUUCACCAGGCAACAAGUAGUAGAAGCAGCAGAAGUUUGGCAAAGGAUACUCAGUAGCUUGAAAGCAGAAUUUACAAGUCCUCGCUUAAUCUUAGGCCCAUUAGAAGUAUGAAUAAGUCAAGAAAACUUCAUGUUAUUCUUUUGUUUUCAUGUAGCAUGGCACUAGCAUAUGGACAUUAAUACAUCACAAAGUGAUUAAAUAUUUAUCUCAGUGUUGAAUUGCCUCUCCUGUUCCAACUUGUCAGUGGGACAGCUAUUAAGGAUUGGGAGAGAGAAUUCAUGCCAAAAAUUUGAAACCAUUAAGUGAAAGGCAAUUUCACCAACAAUUGCCAAAAUUAAGGAAGUUGCAUACCCAGUAUACAUUACAACGUCUCCUCCCCAAUUUAUGCAUGUAAUAACUAGAGUAUGACCGCUCAGACAUAUUACACAACUUUGUAGUGUUACAUCCCGUAUGCAUGCAUCACCGUCUUCACAUGAACUCACAAAGCGACGGCAUGGGGAACUCAGAUGUACUGGUUCCCAAGAUAAACCUGUGAUCCAUUUCUUGUGGCCCUGACAUAAAGCAGAUUCAAUUGUCUUAGUGGCACAGAGACUAUUCUUGCUAUGCAUCAGCCACAAAAUCAAGUUAGACACUUCAACACCUCACAAGUUAUCGUCAAAAAAUGGUAAAGGGUGUCAGAAAGCUUUCCUCAACAAAAAGGGUACACCAUGAUCUCAUCCUAUAAAGGCAAAGCUACACAAUAAACUGUACUCACUACACUAAACUUAUGGAUAUCAUCCAAAUUAACGCCAACACUGCUCCCGCUUAUUUUGCCACAAGUAUCAAAUUAGAAGCAACAAAUUGGCAAUUUUAUCCACCAUUUCCUCUUCAAUAUGGAGUUAUAAACCAAGAAAUAUUAAUAGGAAAUGGAGUUCCAUGGAAUCCUUUAAGGAAGGAUUCGUGUAACACCAAAGGUCCAAAACUAUUUGGUCCAAACAACUUUCCAUAAAAUAAAUUUAGGUCAAAGUUAAAUGAAGUUGGUAAAAGCAGCAAAAUACAAUCAACUGAAUAAGAUACUUUCUAGUCUUAUAAUGCAAUAAGGAUCAUACGACAAGUGGAUUGCCUGAUGGUUGCGCAGUCAACGGAUCCCAACAUUGGAGUUCUCCAGCCUUGCUUCCACUUACAAGAUGCUUACCAUCAGGUUACCAUGUAAUACAGAGGACCCAAUUCUUGUGCCCUGAGUAAAAGAAAGUUUCAUUAAUCAAACAGACAAAAAGGAAACCAAGUAAUUUAUACUGCCAACAAACCGCUUACUAACAUUUUUUCCACCCACAAUCCACUACAUGGUCUUUGUAGGAUUGAUAUCACAUGGAUGCAAUAACAUUUACAAGCUCAUUAUCCUGUGAGAAAAAUAUCACGUGAGGUCAUUACUACUACGUGUCAAUUGGUAACAAGUGACAAGCUGCCAUAUCAAAUCUAAAACAAGAAAAGGAAAUUGACAACUUCAUCAAUCAACGUUCAACUCUAAAUUCACAAAUUAUUUUGAAGUGCAUCAAUAGACCCACACUAAUACUUUUCGAAAACCCAGCUAGUUUAAUUGCGGAAAUUUACUUCUCAGUUUGAAAACAAAACAAGUAAUGCCUAAUUCAAACAAUUUUUGUUUGAUGAUCACCGGUGCAUUUGUAUACUAUAGCAAAAUCCCCUAGAAUGAAAUCUAUGGGAAUUUGCACAACGAAAAAAAGAUAACAAAGCCUAGUCUUGAUUUUGCAUUUCACAUCCAACUGCUGGAUCCUGAGUGAAACCUUACCAACAAGCUGAUCUCCGCAAAUCAAAGAUAUACAAUGGCAUCCACCAUUCACAUUUUUGGAUACCUACCAAAUUUCUCCUGAAUUGCAACCAUUAAUACGGGAACUUGAACACAGGAGCACAGUUACCCAUCUUCUCCUGUAUUUCAACUACAUCCUGUAGAAAGCAUCCAAUUGUUGGUUUAAUGCAAACAAAUUUCUUCAAACUUUCAGUAAAAUAAAAGAAACAUGGUUAUCUCGCAGCCACAGGUACUUUCAGAUUCACCCAACCAUCAAAAAACCUUGUGACAAUUUACACAUUGUCCUAAAGUCUUCACAGAAAAAGAAAACCACGCUUUGCUUUGCUUUAAAGCUAAACUAGUAAUGGAAGUUAAAGAAAUGAAAUGGCUGUUAUCUAAACACUAGUUCCAUGAAACUACUGCAAAAGUAAUGAAGAAAGAAAGCAAAUUCAAGCUUCAGUUACUUGAAUAUAUUGCAAUUGUCCCCAGGCACAAAAUCCAAACUAUCCGCACUUGAACAUGGAAUGAGACAUGGGCUGCUAAAGGUAACGAAAGUACUUAAGACUAAACCAACUACCAAGAUACAAGACAAAUUUGCCAUCUCAUUUUAGGCACCAAUAGAGAGACUUGAACGAUCAAGCCAAAACUAUUUAGCGCCAAAGAGAAGAAAAAAAAAAGCCAGAAAAUUCAGCGCAAUCAUAGAAGCGCCUAACGAAAUGCAAAAACAGCGAGGGGAAAGGGAAGGCCGACUGCAAGAGGGAAGGCCGCGGGCGAGGCGAGGCGAGGCGACCGACGGACCGAGAGCGAGAUUAGGGAGAGAGUUUUUUGAGAGGGCUAGGGUUUUGUCCAUCAUUAUGCGUGAGGAAAGGGGAGAUUGCGAAAACGCGACACGCGAGCUCAACUAGAGGAAGCAGAGGUAGCAAGCAAGAAGAGAGAAACGCUGCGGGAAUUAGCGAGCGACCGAGAGGAAGAAGCGAACCUGCAGCAGAGCCUCGAGACGGGAGCGAAGAACCAUAGAAAACGCCGUUCUGAACGAAGAAGAAGACGGAGAAGAGGAGGAGGAGGAGGAGGAGAGAGAGAGUCAGCAGAAGCCGUCAGGGAGCAGCAGAAUUAAAGAAGCGGGAGACGUACAGUCCGGUAAGCCUGCGUGCUGGUACAUGAUGGAGUAACAAAACGCGGGUUCUCAAUAUUUGAAUUAGUAGGUUCGUUCAUCAAAAUUUUGUUACGCCCGUGUUUAGUUAGGAAAGGGUGACAUUUAAUCAGGAUGGUAAGUCAAGAUUCCAUCUCAGUAUCACCAAAAUUUCAAUUUCUAGCAAAACGAAUGAUGCGAAUGAUGAUAAAAGGGAAAUUACCCACUUUACCACUUGUAUUUUCAUAUUGCAUUUUUGCAUCCUCGAUUUUAAAUUCACUACUAAAUUUUGUCAAACCAAAUUGUAUUAUUAAGACCUCUGUAUUAUCAUGAGAAUUUGAUAAUUUAUGUCUCUCGAAAUAGUGGUUCUGGAAUGCAAAAUAAGGUGGGUUGUCAAGUUAACGUCAGUUAUAUUUGUGACAAGCGCAUCUACUCUUUCAUUGCAUUGAUUCAUAGUCUUUUUAAUUUGAGCUUUAAUGUGUGUUCUCAAAAACUUUAGCCGGAAAUUGCUAAAGAGCAUAAAAUUGGCCUGUUGUGAUAAACUCUACACACCUGAUUGAUCCUUUAUUAAAGUUGGAAAGCUUCAUUCAACAUGUGACAGUGACAUUACAAUCUUAGGUAGGCACUACCACACAUCUAAGGCUGCUCCUCUAUUAUAGCCUCAGCGUGAUUAAUUUCUUUCAUGGAUUUGUCCUUUCACAUGUAGAUAACUAAGAUAGGUACUUCUCCAGGAUGUUGGACAUCUAUCAAUGCCAAACCAACGCCAACAGAUCCCAAACCGGUUGAUGCGCCUCCGUCACUGCUCCGCCGCCCCUCCGCGUCGAUCGGUUCCAUGGAUCUACCCGGGAACUGGACCGGACCGGCGGUCCGGUUCUCGGGUGGAUCCAUGCAACAAACGGAUGGAUCCCGGUUCCAAUUUUUCGGAACCGGUCCUUAACGGGCGGUUCCCGGUUCUAGGUCAGGAACCGCCUGCCCGAACCAUGCACACCCCUAGUGCCAAGAACGGAGGAGAUGAGCGGAGCAGAGAAGGUGGUGGGCGCGAUCGGAGGGUCGGAUCUCUAUAAAAAAUAGUCACUUCUAGCAUGAUAUUGAAUUAUUGUAAUGCCAAGCAAUUGUAUCUUCCUUGCCCUAAGGAUUUGUUGUUCACCAAUUGGAUUCUCAACCUUUAUACAUACGAAUAUGCUCUCAUAUACCUUUACCAAAAAAAAAAAAAAAUAGGCUCUCAUGUAUUUUUCUGACUUAGGCGCGUUAGUGAGAAGCUUCUCAUUACUUACUCUUAAAGUGGUGAUUCUAGAAUGCUAAAUGAGGCAGCGUUGUCAAGUUAAUGUCACUUAUAUUUGCGACAUACGCAUGUGUUCUUUCAUUGCAUUAACUUAUAAUAUUUCUAUUUUGAGUUUUGGCAUGUCCUUUCAAAAGCCUUAGCAGAGGACCCCGCUGGAAAUUGCUAAAGGGCACAAAAUUGGCCUGUCGUGAUAUAGACCCGACAAGCAUGGUUGGUCCUCUAUUAGAGCCUGAAAACUUCAUUCAACAUGCGAGUGACAUUAUACAUAGGCACUAGCCCCACCUCUAAGGUUGGUGAUUUACUACUCGGUUCUUUAAAGAUUCGGCCGAGCAUCGGGCUCUUUAUAAGUCCAUCUGCUCCGCCACCGAGUCCAGUACUCGUUCACUCUCUCCCCCGAGCCACAGGAGACGAGACCAGCGUGUGUGAACUCCACGGUUCAGGUGCCGAGAACGGAGAAGAUGAGCGGAGCAGGGAAGGUGGUGGGUGUGACCGGAGGGUCGGGUUACAUAGCUUCUUGGCUGGUCAAGCUCUUGCUCCACCGUGGCUACACUGUUCGAGCCACAAUCCGAGACCCAAGUAAGAAAAAAGUUCCCUCUCCCUCCCUCUCUCUAUCUCUCUCUCUCUCUCUCUCUCUCUCUCUCUCUCUCUUAUGCUCUUUUACGCUUCUUGGGCAUUGUCAAGCUGUUGGAAGAAGAAAAAACAAAGAACCGUUGAAAUCUGAUAAUCCACAUGAAGUUAUGUGGAAACCCUUUAUUAGAGUGAAACCAUCGAGCUAUUUUUUGUGAGAGAGAAGAAUUUUGCUAGCUUCAUUAGUUUUGUCUAUAUAUCUAUCUGAUAAAGUUCCGAUCUUUUGCAUCCUGUUCGACUUUGUUAAAGAAGUAGCACGCUCAAACCAUCGCUCAAUUCCGGAUUCUUGAUUUAUUUAUUCUCGCAUCAGUUUUGCACAAGUUCGUCCAUAAACAAUACGACUCUUCUCGUUCCGCCUAUGCCCUUUCUGACUAUAGAUGCUACUAGUGUGUCGGUGAGGGUCCCUGCAACUUUUUAAAUUUCAGUCAGUUGAGAUUUCUCAUUCUUGUGCAUGUGCAACAGCCGACCCAAAGAAGACAGGACACCUCCUGGCACUGGAGGGGGCUAAGGAGAGGCUGCAUUUAUUCAAAGCGGAAUUGCAGCAAGAAGGGUCCUUUGACUCCGUAGUCGACGGAUGCGAAUGUGUUUUUCACAUUGCAUUCCCCUAUCUGCCCUCAGCUGCUGACCCCCAGGUGCUUGAAUCUUGCCAUGUCAAUCAUCUUUCAUGAUUUGUUACGUGCUUAAAUUCCAACGUUGUCCUUGUUUUCCUAAAUGAGUAGAUAGGUCCAUGUGGAUGGGGAUUUGCGUUUCUUCUGCCAUAACGAGUUCAGUUUUGGUUUUCUGAUACUUUUAAUGAGAAUUUUACCUAAUGAUUUCUUCUAUUACAUGACUCAGGCUGAAAUAAUUGAUCCUGCCGUAAAGGGCACCCUCAAUGUUCUAAGAUCAUGCGCCAAAGCCUCUUCUAUCAAGAGAGUGGUUGUGACGUCCUCUAUGGCCACAGUUGCAUUUAGUGCAAAACCUGUGACUUCGGGCAUUGUCAUUGAUGAGACUUGGGAUUCAGAUCCAGAAUUUUGCCAGAAAUCCAAGGUUUGUGUAUCAAUAUUUCCUAACAAUAUUGCUGUUCAUUUCUUGAAAUUUAACUAUCGAAUAACAUUCAGAGUUAUUGUUAUAAAGUAAAACUGGUAAAAUGUUGAUUCCGAGAGAAGUCGGAACAUCAGGGAACAUUCUCUCUUAAAUCACAUAGCUUUCACUAGACACAUUUUACAGAUGCUCGAACCGAGGAGUGCCUAUCUUAUCACUUACGGUUGUUUGUGUUACUCUUGCAAUUUAGUCUAGCACCAUGUUAGAUGCUACAUAUGCUUAUUGAAAACAACAUUUUCUAUAUACUUCGAUUCAUGGGGAACUACUUGUCUGUCAUUUCUUUUAAUUGGUAAUCUCCCAAUGCCCCUUGGAUGACAUCGAAUGAAGUCCAUGUCAUGGCAAUGGUUAUUAUAUGUGUUGAAUGAGGCAAAACAUUCUAACAGUCUCUUUGUUUUAUCUAUCUUCAGCUCUGGUAUAUCCUUUCAAAAACCUUCGCAGAGAAGGCAGCUUGGGAAUUUGCCAAAGAGAAUGGAAUUGACCUUGUGAUCAUAAACCCAGGACAUGUGUUCGGUCCCUUCUUGCAGCCCACUGUUAAUUUCUCCGUGGGGUUAAUACUGAACCUCAUCAAUGGUAUCACUAUCAUCUAGCCAUAAAUUAUGUUUGUUAUUAAAUCUUUGCCAUUUUAUUUCAGAGCAGCUUCGUCAAACAUUUGUGCAUACUUGUUCUCAUUACCCAAAAGACAAUCUCAAGGAGUAACCGUAGAACUAUCUAUCUGAUUGUAUGCCCUUAAUCAUACUUACGAGUUAUGGCCACGUGUCUCAGAAUGUCAUUCUGCAUUGCUCCAUGGAAUGGCUAUCCUUCUUUGCUAGUUAACUGAAUUUGGCAACAUGAGGUCCUCAGGCCCUUAAAUUCUAUUUAUUGGAUCUGGCUUCUUUAUUGAAGGGUCUGCUUGAUUGGCUGCACAGACACUAUUAUAAUCAUCUGUUAGAUUUCCACAUGCGACAUAGUUUUCAACUACCGGCAGAAGCAUCUAGUAUAAAGUAAAAGUUGUAUUGACGUUGGCAUGGGAGUAAUUGAGGCUUAUCCUGCAGGAGCUCAAACAUUUCCAAAUACAUGCUAUAUAUUUGUCGAUGUCAGAGACGUCGCACACGCACACAUUCUAGCUUUUGAAAAUCAUUCAGCUCACGGAAGAUAUUGCCUAGUAGCCAAAACUGUGCACUGCCAUGAUGUUUUGCAGAUUCUGCGCAAUCUCUACCCCACUUUGCACCUCCCUAAGAAGUAAGUUAUCAUUCUGCCUUAAUUCUUAACUCAUCUUCUGUCAGACUACUGUGCGUCCAAGAGAUUUACGGUUGUUUUCCUAAUGGUGCAGAUGCGAAGAUGAGAAGCCUUUCUCUUCGAAGGAUGAGAUAUCAACAAAGAAGGCAGAAGCUCUGGGUGUCGACUUCACUCCAUUGGAGGUGAGUCUGAGAGAUACCGUCGAAUGCCUCAAGGAGAAGGGAUUCAUCUCUGUCUAGGCAGUUGCUUAGAACAGCAUAUCACAAGCUUGCUAAUAAUGACUUGUGGACCUGUGGUCUGUCCUCAGCCUUUUAGCUCCUAAAUCGUACGAUUGUUCUGAAUAAUGUAUCAUUACCCACUUUCAGAGAUUACUCUGCCAGUUUUUCC